GAGGGUGUAGCUCAAGUGGUAGAGCACGUGCUUAGCAUGCAUGAGGUCCUGGGUUCAAUCCCCAGUACCCUCA
rnacentral:tRNA from 1 species